rnacentral:lncRNA from 1 species
GGGUGCUGUACCCAAAAAGGGGGAGAUGGGGUACCCCAAGUGGUGCUCUAGGGGGAGGGAGGAUGCGUUACCCCAGGGGGAUGCGAUACCUGAAGGAGGGGUUAUCUGUGGGGUUGCAAUAUUGGGGGGAGAUGAUUUACCCCAGGGGAUGCAAUACCCAAAAGGGGAGACCCCUCUUUACCCCAGGGGGUUGCAAUACCCAAAAAGGGGGAUGCAAUACCCAAAAAGGGGGAUGCAACACCCAAAAGGGGAUGAAACACCCAAAAAGGGGGAUGCAAUACCCAAAGGGGGGGAUGAAACACCCAAAGGGGUUAUACGAUACCCAAAAACAGGAUGGGGCCAGGAGGAUGGGGUGCCCAGGGUGGGAAGAAAUACCCAGGUAAUGCAGUAUCUGGGGGGGCUGCAGCUUCAGGUAGGGGAUGGGGAAGGAUUCAGCUUGGGGAUGCAUCACGGAUGCAUCAGGGGAAAUGUGGUGCCCUGGGGGAAUGCAAUUCCCCCCCCCCAAAUCCCAGGGAAUGCAGUUGGGUGCGAUGCCAGAACUCUCUUAAACCAAAAUCUCAGCCAAAACUCUCUUUGGUUGGGGUGGGGGGGACCCCAGGGAUGUCGAUGUCAGAGCCUGAAAUGCUGGAGCUGGAGUUUGCUGGUCCGAAACUGGAAACCAAGCCAUGAGCCAAGGCCCUGGAAGAUGCGCGGAGCUCCUGCCUUGGGAUUUCAACCCACAGCGUGUUUGGGACCGUGCUGCUCCCAGCAAACCCUCCCCAGGAUCCUUGUUGGGGGCUUUUUGGCUUUGUGUGUCUUCGUUUCCCCUUCCAUGGACCAAGCAGAAGUAGGGUUGAAGAGGGGAGACGACAACAACGACACAACUACCAACACAACAACGAGAAGAGUUAUUCGAAGGAGAAUUUUUCCUGGUUUAUUAGAAAGCCUCCAUGAGGAGUAGGUAAACUCCUCCUCUGCCCCCCAAGGAGAAGGCAUCAGCCCCCAUUAACCCCCCUCGGAGCAGAAGAGAGUCGUGGUCGGUGGCCCAAGUGCUCAUCAAAUCAAUAAAUCUUUCCGAGCGUAUUUUAGCGAGCA